GGGCAGAAGAACCAUGGUCCUGUAAAAAACAAAACAAAAAACAACAACCCUACUUUGGAAUAAAAAAUUGGCAUUCCGUCUGGAGAAGAUCAAGAUGAUGAGCAUCUGUGUCUUCGGUGUGCCUGCUGGUGUUGGUGCUGCAUCUGAUCUUUCAUGCCAGUUCCCUGGCCCUCAUACAGGUGAGGCUGUGCCUGCACUACUGUGCACCAUCCCUGUUACUCCCCUCUCAAAAUCCCCUCCUCCUCCCACCAGGCUUCUUUCUGCCCCUGAUGGAAGCUCACACCUGCCCUCCAUUAAGAUAAUGUUUUGUGAUUAUUUUGAAUGUUAAAAUGUAAUUCUCCGGCAAUUCAUGUUGGCUUGGUUAUGUUGAGAGGAAAUAGUUUCCCUAACUUUGUUUCUCCCUACCUCCCUUUCUGAAAGUUCCCAUCUCACUUUGAAAAUGAAAGAAUGGAAAAAUAUCUACAAGACAGUGCAUGUAUCCUAAGUCUCCGCUUACAAGAUAUUUGCUUUGGCCUAGAUAGGAUCUUAAGAAUCAGUGACAGAGGAAUUUUCAUAUGAAAAACAAAGAUCUUAUGUAAUUGUUCACAUGUGCAGGUAGCUGGCGAUAACCAGGUAGGAAUGACUAAUAAAGUGACAUAUGACUCUACAUGUU